rnacentral:pre_miRNA from 1 species
AAAGUACUCCCUCCGUCCCAAAAUUCUUGUCUUAGAUUUGUCUAGAUACGGAUGUAUCAAGUCACAUUUUAGUAUUAGAUACAUCCGUAUCUAGACAAAUCUANAUGUAUCAAGUCACAUUUUAGUAUUAGAUACAUCCGUAUCUAGACAAAUCUAAGACAAGAAAUUUGGGACAGAGGGAGUAGUUG